GACAGAGGGUGCUAGCGUUGUUCGGAAUUACUGGGCGUAAAGGGCGCGUAGGCGGUCCGCUAAGUUCGGCGUGAAAUCCCCUGGCUCAACUGGGGAACUGCGCUGGAUACUGGUGGACUUGAGUACCGGAGAGGAGAGUGGAAUUCCUGGUGUAGCGGUGAAAUGCGUAGAUAUCAGGAGGAACACCGGUGGCGAAGGCGGCUCUCUGGACGGAUACUGACGCUGAGGCGCGAAAGCGUGGGGAGCGAACAGG
rnacentral:rRNA from 1 species